rnacentral:lncRNA from 1 species
GGGAAGGGCUGAGGGGAAGCGGCGCUGCCCGAGUGCGGUGCGGCACUGGGGUCUCCCCGAUGGGGUUCGGCGCUGUUGUAGCGGUGUUGAUGCUGAGGGAAGCUGAGUUUUAGGUACAAGGAAGGACAACUUUGAGACGUUUCCUUCCCCCUUGCCACUCACAGCCCUCCAGUGUCCUCUGCCCUUUUGCUGCCUCUUCUCCUGGCAGGAACGUGGUGCGCAGGAGGUCCCCCCAUGGUUCCUUCCUAGGCUUGGAGCUCCACAGGGACAGCACCACAGGUGAGAACUACACAGGUA